rnacentral:rRNA from 1 species
CCUACGGGUGGCUGCAGUCGAGAAUCUUCGGCAAUGGGCGAAAGCCUGACCGAGCGACGCCGCGUGUGGGAUGAAGGCCCUUGGGUUGUAAACCACUGUCAGAGGGGAUGAAGUGUCCCGAGGUCAUCCUCGGGAUUUGACAUAGCCUCAGAGGAAGCACGGGCUAAGUUCGUGCCAGCAGCCGCGGUAAUACGAACUGUGCAAACGUUAUUCGGUAUCGCUGGGCUUGCAGGGUUGGUAGGCGGCUUGUGAAAUCCCUCGGCUCAACCGAGGAAUUGCGCCCUGAACGGGCGAGCUGGAGUGGGACAGAGGUGCGCGGAACUUCCAGUGGAGCGGUGAAAUGUGUUGAUAUUGGAAGGAACGCCGGAGGCGAAAGCGGCGCACUGGGUCUCAACUGACGCUGAGGCACGAAAGCCAGGGGAGCAAACGGGAUUAGAUACCCCAGUAGUC